rnacentral:rRNA from 1 species
CAAUAGCGUAUAUUAUAGUUGUUGACAGUUAAAAGCUCGUAGUUGGACUUCUAGAUGUGGGGAUUCGGUCCACCGCAAGGUGAGCACUGUAUGUCCUUGCGUCGUUCCUCUCGUAGUUGUUUGGCGCACUUAGUUGGGUGCCAGAUGAAUAUGGGUACCUUUACUUUGAAAAAUUAGAGUGUUCAAAGCAGGCGAUCGCUUGAAUACAUUAGCAUGGAAUAAUAGAAUAGGACUUUGGUUCUAUUUUGUUGGUUUCUAGGACCGAAGUAAUGAUUAAUAGGGACAUUGGGGGCGAUUAGUAUUUAAUUGUCAGAGGUGAAAUUCUUGGAUUUAUGAAAGACAACUACUGCGAAAGCAUUUGCCAAGGAUGUUUUCUAUUAAUCAAGAAACGAAAGUUAAGGGGAUCGAAGAUGAUCAGAUACCAU